UGAAACCGUGUACGUACAAGCAGUGGGAGCACGCUUAGGCGUGUGACUGCGUACCUUUUGUAUAAUGGGUCAGCGACUUAUAUUCUGUAGCAAGGUUAACCGAAUAGGGGAGCCGAAGGGAAACCGAGUCUUAACUGGGCGUUAAGUUGCAGGGUAUAGACCCGAAACCCGGUGAUCUAGCCAUGGGCAGGUUGAAGGUUGGGUAACACUAACUGGAGGACCGAACCGACUAAUGUUGAAAAAUUAGCGGAUGACUUGUGGCUGGGGGUGAAAGGCCAAUCAAACCGGGAGAUAGCUGGUUCUCCCCGAAAGCUAUUUAGGUAGCGCCUCGUGAAUUCAUCUCCGGGGGUAGAGCACUGUUUCGGCAAGGGGGUCAUCCCGACUUACCAACCCGAUGCAAACUGCGAAUACCGGAGAAUGUUAUCACGGGAGACACACGGCGGGUGCUAACGUCCGUCGUGAAGAGGGAAACAACCCAGACCGCCAGCUAAGGUCCCAAAGUCAUGGUUAAGUGGGAAACGAUGUGGGAAGGCCCAGACAGCCAGGAUGUUGGCUUAGAAGCAGCCAUCAUUUAAAGAAAGCGUAAUAGCUCACUGGUCGAGUCGGCCUGCGCGGAAGAUGUAACGGGGCUAAACCAUGCACCGAAGCUGCGGCAGCGACGCUGAUGCGUUGUUGGGUA
rnacentral:rRNA from 1 species